rnacentral:antisense_RNA from 1 species
UUCUAUGGUGGGCCGUGCGGGGCAGGCUUCGGCCUGGCCGGUGUCCUUGGUUGCCGGUUUCUGACCCCCGUACGGUCCGCCACCCAA